CGUGAGAUUUUGAGUGAAAACCUCCUUCCAUCAGCAAGGGCAUUGAAGAUGAAACCUGGCUGGGUCUUUCAGCAUGACAAUGAUCCCAAACACACCGCCCGUGCAACGAAGGAGUGGCUUCGUAAGACUCAUUUCAAGGUCCCGGAAUGGCCUAGCCUGUCUUCAGAUCUCAACCUCAUAGAAAAUCUUUGGAGGGAGUUGAAAGUCAGUUGCCAAGCAACAGCCCCAAAACAUCACUGCUCUAGAGGAGAUCUGCAUGGAGGAAUGGGCCAAAAUACCAGCAACAGUGUGUGAACCUUGUGAAGUUUUACAGAAAACGUUUGACCCCUAUCAUUGCCAACAAAGGGUAUUUAAAGGUCAAAAACAUAUAUUUGUUGCGAGUUGAAAAGGGGGGUUUUUCACACCUAGCUCUUCUAUUAGACAAUUAUUUCGUAAAGGUUGAAUAUCGUCUAUUGUUCAGCUAAUAGCCCAUCCUAGAAACAUUGUUUCUAGAAUUCACAUCCUGCUACAGUACGCUUGUGAAAAAUAAAAUGCCGCCAGCUGUCAAUGCAUAUCUAAGGGGCUUUUAUAUAAUUAAUAUGCGGGCUUAAUAGUAAUAAUAAUACUUUUCCCCCUUUCCACUUGUUAAAGCCUGGAUUGUUACUCCCAUCUCGUUCCUUGCCUUUUUCCACGUGUCAUUCUCCGCCUGAGUGGCUCGCUUGUGGGCGUGUUGGCAGGAUAUGGCAGCAUCUUCGGUUGUGCGUCAAGAAGUCUACUUAGCAAGUUUCUAUGAAGUCUAGUUAUUCACAGGCAAAUAUUAAAUUGCUCUAAACCUCUCUGGUACAAACAAACACUUUGCUGCCCUGUUUUCAAUCGUCCACAUGGCUGGGAGAACCCAUUCAGGUAAUAAAUACAUUUUGAAAAUGUAAAAAAAAAAUAUAUUAUUAGUUAGAGUAACUAGCUACAGUGCAUUUUAACUCAAAUGAGCUGCUAAUGUAGCUAGCUGGUUUACAUACGGCAUAAAUGGCUAGCUAAGAUUUGACCAGCUACCCAACUUAAUUUUAGCUAGCUAUCUUGAUAUAUUUAACAUGGUAAAAUACAUCUGUAGGUAGCUAGCUAACAGCCCAGGACGGUGAAAGGAUAGCAGGCCCAGCUGUGGGAGAGCAUGCUAUUCUGGAUAGAAAAGGGUACUUUUGUGUAGUUCCAGUCCUUAGAAGUGAGGAUAGAGAAAAUCAUAUUCAGUGCUGUCUAAUUUUUUUUUUUGUCAUCUGAUAGAGAGAGCUGUGAAAGCCUGUUUGCAGAUGAAGAGUCCCAAUGAAGAGCAGCUGAAUCAAGUGACCAUGUCAUUAUCAAGCUUCAAGUGGUUUUUAUGUAUUCAUUUGUGAUGCUAUCCUUGAUAUGAUCCUGCUAUUGUCACAUGCUAGUCAUGUAUCUAUCCAAUGUUAUCAUGAUUUGUUAUAAGGAAUAUUAUACUUUAGUAAUUCACAAUGAUCUGGUAAUGUAAAAGUCUAAUGAGAUUAUUUUCUAUUGUUUGUCCUCGUGUGCCUGUUUUUCAGCAUAAAGUACUCUGUAGCCAAGUAGUGUGGACACCAGCUUAUAUCAGCUGUGUUGGUGAACCUCUCCCGCAUCUGAACUGGCUGACACAGAGGGAACAGCAUGAUCAUAGGUAUGUUUUGAUGUGAGAGAGGAAGCCAGUCCCGUCAUCGCCACCUCACCCACUCUUAAGAUAACUUUCGGGCCGACUGGGGGCCCAAGGCUGGUUUAGGAGACACUAUGUAAUUGUGAUGAACUGAGAGAAUAUUAGUGUAGCACUGUAAUUCAUUAAUUAUCUGCGGUCUUCCCUGCUCCUCUGUUCUUAUCUCUUUUUGCCUUUGUCUUCUACACCUCUCUCCCCACCUCUUUGUUCCUCUUUUUUUAUAAUGCACAUGUGCAUUGAAGUACAGAUUGAACUUGUAUUUAUAAUAUUUAUAAUGCAAGUAUUAUGCAUUUAUA